rnacentral:lncRNA from 1 species
UUCAAUAUUUACACAUUACACAUAUGGAGGGACCAUAUGAAGGUAACCUAAAACAAUUUUUUUUAUAUUUCAUUUGUUGUUUUCGCACUUGAUGUCGAUUGUAAAAAGGCAUCUUUUUGUGUUGGAUUCAUGUGAUCGUUCUCUGUUUUCUAAUUAUGGGCUACAAGUAUAAUAAUACUUUUUUUUCUUUUUUGGCCGCAUGGAUUCCUGAUUUUUGAAAUUUAUUUAUAGUUUGUGGCGUAAGUUUUCCAACUCGUUGUCUGACUUAAUAACCUUUUUAACAUAGAUUACAUUGUAGUCCCGAAAUUCAAUGAUUCAGGGAGUAAUGGAAACGCUACAGUUGGGACUGAAAAUUCCUCUAGCGAGGACCUAGACUUCACAAAUUCUAGAAAGAGUUGGACUUCGGAGGGGAUGAUAAUCUGUAUGAAUGCAACAUGACGGAUGGGAUUGAGGUUGGUUCAAACGUGGGUGAAUCGAAUGAUGUGAAUGAGCAUGAUGUUGAAGUUGAUGCUAAGAUUGUUGAUUUGGAGUACUCUUCCUCUGAAGAGCCUAUGUCUAGUUGUCCAUUCGAUGACGAUGUUGGGUAUCAAUUUCCACAAUCCUGGGCGGAGGUUGACAUGAGUAAUCAACAAUUUAUUGUUAAUUAGCUCUUUAUGGAUAUUGUCGAGUUUCGAAAGGCAAUAAGAACUUAUGAAGCUUUGAAUGGGUAUAAUGUCAUAUUUAAGGCUAACAAUGAGAGACGAGUAUAUUGAAGUGCAAACUAUGUUGUAAUUGGAGGAUAUGGGCAUCCAAUGUAGGUCUAACAUAAAGUCUACAAGUUAAGUCAUAUACUUUGAUUCACACAUGCAGUCGAGACCAAUACAACAGACAUUGGAAUUUUGUCUUUCUGACUGACGAUUAUAUUGAGUAGUUUAAGACAGACCCAAAUGGAAGACUAAGAGUAUACUUGCGAUAGUGAAUGAUGAUAUGAAAACUGAUAUUACCCAGAAUUUUGGCAUGGAAAAUGAGAAAAUAUACAAAGAAAUUAUUACAUGAGACAAUUGAUGAGGUGUUUUGUAAGUUGUGGUGUUAUGCUACGGAAGUUUUAAGGAUUAAUACGGGUUUGACCUUUAUCAUUGCCAACCACAAUCAAGUUUUACAAGGCAUCUAUGUUUAUUUUGAAGCAUGCAAGAAAGGUUUUACAAUCAUGUUUUACAAUUGAUGAGUUGUUUUGUAAGUUGUGGUGUUAUGCUACGGAAGUUUUAAGGAUUAUUCCGGGUUUGACCUUUAUCAUUGCCAACCACAAUCAAGUUUUGCAAGGCAUCUAUGUUUAUUUUGAAGCAUGCAAGAAAGGUUUUGUCAAUGGUUGUAGAAAGGUUAUUGGAGUUGAUGGUUGCCAUUUGCAUGGAUGUCUUAGUGGAAUAAUGCUAAAAGUUGUUGGUCAUGAUGCGAAUAAUCCAUAUGAAGAACACAGUUUCAGAUAUUAAAUGUCAUUUUUUAAGGUUUGUAAUAAUUAUUAAUUGUGACUAGGAUUAAUCGGUGAUGUGGCACGCCAUUUGUCGCCAUGCGAGAUUACCAUCAUCUACGCCAAGAAGAAAAUUAACACGUUUUGGGGAGUGGGAGAUGGAGUGCAAACGAGACAAGUUCAGUGAGCAUUUUAUAGUUCAGCCAACAGUCCAUGACCAAUGCAUAAGUUCACUGAUUUUUGAAACAUUUCACUCUUAUUUCUACUUUAAAUUUUAAAUUUUUUUGAUUCAAAUUAAAUGAAGGCUAAAUAUAUUCACGCCACUAUUGAAGACUGCAUUUUUUAAUUGAAUAAAAAAUUCAUAACAUUACAUAUUUUAAAAUUUAUGUCUCAUUUUUUAAUUGCGUUCUUAUUUUUUUACUAACAUAAAUUGUUCGUGAAUAUGGUUUUUCUCCAAAAUAUUUUUUGAGAUAAGGUAAAAAGAUUGUUUUUGACCAUUGUAGUUUUAAAUAAUAAAAAAAAAAUAAUAAUGUAAAAAUGCGAUUAAAUAUUUGAUAAUCAUUUCAAAGCACGUUCACAAUAUUUUUAGACCAAAAUCAUGAUUGAUGACAAAAUUAUAUGAUUAAUGAAAUGUUUAAAAUAAAAAUGUGAAGAAUUAAAAAGUUAAGGAUAUAAGUGUGAUAAUAAAUAAAAGUUAAUGGCCUUUAAUGUAAUUAAAAUGUGGUGUAUUUAUAAAACAAAAUAUGUGGUGUAUUUAUGAAAAGUGUUGUGUGAAUAUAAAAAUUCUUAAGUGAAUGACUAUAAAUUAAUUUCAAUUAAUUCUUAUUCUUAUUAUUAUUAUUAUUAUUAUUAUUAUUAUUAUUAUUAUUAUUAUUAUUAUUAUUAUUGUUAUUAUUAUUAUUAUUAUUAUGCAAUAGUCUUUUUAACUUAAAAAUGUAUUAUCUCACAAGUUUCCCCUUUAAAAAACAUAAUAAAAAAAAUUAAUGGAAACUUAUUGGUCAAACAUGAAUUUUGGCCAAUAAGUUUAUGAUGAAUACGUAUUUAUCAUUUUCAAUGAUGAUUUUUUCAUCUCAAAAAAAGAAAAAAAAAAUGUAAUAAAAUAAAACAACUACUUAUGUGCUAGGUCAAAUUUGCCCCCAUUAAACUAAAUUUAGAUCAUAAUAAGUUAUUGAUGUUUAAUUUAUCUAGUUAUUUUUAAAUAUAUUUUGUACUAUCUCCCAUCCUAUCUGAUAGAAAUGGAUCUCAUGAUCUUAAGCCGAUCUGACCUAAGAUCGUAAGUUCCUAGUUUUCCUAUGAAGAGUGGAUCUAAUUGUAUUAGUGCCUACAAUUAAUUUUUCCUAUGUAAUACUAAUCGAUAAAACCUCAUUGGUAAGUGCUACAUGAUCUCGUGCAAACCCACAAUUAUGGACCUGAAUCAUUAAAUUAUUAGUAAGUUACUAUUACUAUUUUACAUUCAUUAAGCUAUUAUUUGUACUGUAGUCCAAUCCCUAAUUAUGCAUUAUAUUAUUAUUCUAACAACAAUUAGUCUAUGGGUACAGGAAAUACACAUAGAAUUCACACAGAAUUUUGAAUGUGCUGACUAAGCAAAAAAAAAAAAGUUCCAAAAGCAAACUGGUUUGACCCUUAAAAUGAACCCAUCUUCAUUUCCCCAAAUUACAAAGCAAGAGGAAAAUCGUCGCUUUUUCAUUGUCGAACUUGUGGUCCUCCAAAGUCGGCCGACAUCUGGACAACUGAUUGGGGUGCACCAUCUGAUGUAUUGUAAAGAUGGCAGCCCAUCGUAACCCAACAUGGAAAUUGUAUUUGAAGACAGCAGUCGAAUUGUAGAUGCUAGGCAAAGGUAUUUUGUUAUUUACUAUUUUAUACAUUUCAUUAUCAAAUUUAAGGUUAAUUUAUGGUUAAGCUAUCUUACACUUGUUUGCACAAUUUGAAUGUUUUUUCCUCUUUAUUUUGACAUAUAUUUGAAGUAUAUCGGUUAUAGAGCCUGAUUGUUGAUAAAGUUGAAGUCUUUGAUUUCUUGUUCUUCAUAAAUUUGUGAGUUUGUUUAUAAAUUGAUGGUUUUCAGAAAUUUUGUGGGAAAAAGCUUUUUGAUUCCUAAUUAAAUAAUAGCAUAUCUUGCUCUAUUAUUGAUUGUUAUUCAGUUUACUAGGAUGUUAUUGAAAACGGCAUGUUGCUUCUUGCUUCUAAAUAGGGUAGCUCAUAAAUGAAAUUUUGAGAAUUCAGCUUUUUUCUUCAUUUUGUUUUAGCAAUUUAUUGUGGAAAGUUUGAUGAAUUUGAUACUUUAGUUCUUUGUUUAUAUUGUGGAGAGCUUGCUGAAUUUGUGGCAAAUUUCAAAGCUGAAUGAUGGUGGAAGAAAUUAUCCUCGUUUUAUUGAAUUUGUAUUUGUAAGAUGGUAGUAAAAGAAUCUUAGCGAAAUGCAAUUAAGCCAGUGCUUUGUUUGUAAUGUACUGCUAAUAAUAAGUUCCAAUGUGGGAUUUCAUAAUUUAAUUGCAUUCAUGUGGUUUCUUCAACAGUAGUUGACUAGAAUGAGAAGAAGGAAUUUCGGAGUUUGUCACAGCUAUAGAAUUAACACUCACUACUUUGGACAAUGCCAAACAAAACGUGAAUGCCCUUCAUGUAAAUGCGGAUUUUGAAAAUGUUUUGAGGUAAAACGGGAUACUGGAAUCAAAGGGCGCUAGUUCUUCAAGUGUAAUAAUGACUGUGGAUAUUUCGAUUGGGUGAAAAAUGAAGAUUCAAGUGGGGAGUCGAGUAACAUUAACGAAGAGGUGAAUCAUGAGCCCAACGGCAAAUAUGAAGACUUGCCAAGAAUCUUCGACAGCCUAGCUCGAACUUUCGAAAAAUGAGACAUGGACAUAACAUUGCACGUAACAGUUUGCAAAGGAAAAAGGAACUGUAGAAUGUGAUAGGAAAGGGAAAGGACCAAUGUGAACGGGUGAUAUCAAUUUGUAUUUGCUAUAUGCUUUGUUUGUACCGUAAGAACUUCUUGGUCAUAGUAGGCUUCAAUGUUCAAUGCUUAAUUUUGUCAACAUCGUUCGAGCAUUGGACAUAAGUUUAAUAUUUUGCCAAUCAUUGUAAUAAAUUGACGAUUUGGAUA